AACAAACGCUGGCGGCGUGCUUAACACAUGCAAGUCUAACGGGAAUGUCGGCUUCGGUCGGCUAGUACCGUGGCGCACGGGUGAGUAACACGUGGGUAAUCUGCCCUCGAGUCUGGGAUAACCUUGCGAAAGCGGGGCUAAUACCGGAUAAGACCACGCUCUGCUCGCAGAGCGCGGUAAAAGGUGGCCUCUUCCUGAAAGCUAUCACUAGAGGAUGAGCCCGCGGCCUAUUAGCUAGUUGGUAGGGUAACGGCCUACCAAGGCGACGAUGGGUAGCCGGCCUGAGAGGGUGUACGGCCACACUGGCACUGAGACACGGGCCAGACUCCUACGGGAGGCAGCAGUGGGGAAUUUUGCGCAAUGGGGGAAACCCUGACGCAGCAACGCCGCGUGAGUGAUGAAGGCCUUCGGGUUGUAAAGCUCUUUUAGUGGGGAAGAAGCCCUCCAGGACGAAUAAUCCUGGGGUCUGACGGUACCCACAGAAAAAGUUCCGGCUAACUACGUGCCAGCCGCCGCCGUAAAAC
rnacentral:rRNA from 1 species